GACGGGGGUGGCAAGUGUUCUUCGGAAUCACUGGGCGUAAAGGGCGCGUAGGCGGCUUUAUAAGUCGGGGGUGAAAGCCUGUGGCUCAACCACAGAAUUGCCUUCGAUACUGUAGAGCUUGAGACCGGAAGAGGUAAGUGGAACUGCGAGUGUAGAGGUGAAAUUCGUAGAUAUUCGCAAGAACACCAGUGGCGAAGGCGGCUUACUGGUCCGGUUCUGACGCUGAGGCGCGAAAGCGUGGGGAGCAAACAGG
rnacentral:rRNA from 1 species